UCAGAUGGACAGGGCAUAGCCGUCGCAUUUUGUGGCGGAGGACAGUCCGGACUGCACGGGACGACAUACAGGUUAACGACCUGGCGGGGUGACCCGACGAUUAGAGGAACAGUAACGUAAGCGAUUAAAUUCGUUUGAAACGGCCAAUCUCUAUGUGCAGCAACUUCAAAUAGGCCACCAAUUGAUUGUCCCGAUCAGGUGGCGGGUAGAGGGCUUGACGCCCGAUGGUAACAUUGGGUGCAGAUUAAUUAUGUCCGCUGGUUUAAUUUUGAAUCAGUACAGAAUCCGGCUUAUCGUUUAUCUGGUAAU
rnacentral:RNase_P_RNA from 1 species